UACAUGGGGUGCAAACGUUGCUCGGAAUUAUUGGGCGUAAAGCGCACGUAGGCGGUUUGUUAAGUCGGAUGUGAAAUCCCUCGGCUCAACUGAGGAAGUGCAUCCGAAACUGGCAAGCUUGAGUACGAAAGAGGGUCGCGGAAUUCCCGGUGUAGAGGUGAAAUUCGUAGAUAUCGGGAGGAACACCGGUGGCGAAGGCGGCGACCUGGGUCGAUACUGACGCUGAGGUGCGAAAGCGUGGGAGCAAGCAGG
rnacentral:rRNA from 1 species